UACGUAGGGGGCAAGCGUUGUCCGGAUUUAUUGGGCGUAAAGAGCGUGUAGGCGGUUUGGUAGGUCCGUUGUGAAAACUCGAGGCUCAACCUCGAGACGCCGAUGGAAACCAUCAGACUAGAGUCCGGAAGAGGAGAGUGGAAUUCCUGGUGUAGCGGUGAAAUGCGCAGAUAUCAGGAAGAACACCGGUGGCUAAGGCGGCUCUCUAGGACGGUACUGACGCUGAGACGCGAAAGCGUGGGGAGCGAACAGG
rnacentral:rRNA from 1 species